CGUCGGUCCGUGAGGCUAUGAUUCUGAGCCGUGGCCCAGAACGUCUGGGUGUGGAUAGUCCAGGUUGUAUGGGGGUUUGCCGAGUAGUGAGAUCGAGGAAGUGGUGAGGGGACUCAUGGCGAUGGCAUCUGUGGCGGCUGCGACUUCCUGCGGCGGAGCGGCGAUGGAAGCCGAUGGCCUGGAUUUCCUCAUGGAUCUAGUUGACCGAUCAGAACAGAGCUGUGGUCUGUGGAGAUGGCAAAGUUGACCGGGAUUAAAUCCGUAGGAUGGACUUCAAGCUAAUGAGAUACAGUACAAGAUUGAGUGGCUAAAAAAGUUUUAUGUUCCCGGUGUACUACAUGGAUUGCUGGUCCUUGUACAUCCUGGAGGCAGAGAAGAAGAUCUUCAGGGUGUUGAACCCGACUGAGACACACCCCAGUGACGGGAUGGAAACGAAACACAGUGCCUUUGCAAAGAGAACCCAGCGUCGAUUCUGACAAUGCUUCAACAAUAUAUUCGGUGGAUGAUUGGUUGACGUGGACGGAUGGACUUCUG